GUCGAACGGACAGGUAAUGAAACCUAGUGAUUUAUCUGUUAGUGGCGGACGGGCGAGUAACGCGUGGGUAACCUGCCGUAUACAGGGGGAUAACACUUAGAAAUAGGUGCUAAAACCGCAUAAGCGCACAGGAUCGCAUGGUCUGGUGUGAAAAACUCCGGUGGUAUACGAUGGACCCGCGUCUGAUUAGCUUGUUGGCGGGGUAGAGGCCCACCAAGGCGACGAUCAGUAGCCGGCCUGAGAGGGUGAACGGCCACAUUGGGACUGAGACACGGCCCAAACUCCUACGGGAGGCAGCAGUGGGGAAUAUUGCACAAUGGGGGAAACCCUGAUGCAGCGACGCCGCGUGAGUGAAGAAGUAAUUCGUUAUGUAAAGCUCUAUCAGCAGGGAAGAAAAUGACGGUACCUGAGUAAGAAGCCCCGGCUAACUACGUGCCAGCAGCCGCGGUAAUACGUAGGGGGCAAGCGUUAUCCGGAUUUACUGGGUGUAAAGGGAGCGUAGACGGCAGUGCAAGUCUGGAGUGAAAGGCGGGGGCUCAACCCCCGGACUGCUCUGGAAACUGUACGGCUGGAGUGCAGGAGAGGUAAGUGGAAUUCCUAGUGUAGCGGUGAAAUGCGUAGAUAUUAGGAGGAACACCAGUGGCGAAGGCGGCUUACUGGACUGUAACUGACGUUGAGGCUCGAAAGCGUGGGGAGCAAACAGGAUUAGAUACCCUGGUAGUCCACGCCGUAAACGAUGAUCACUAGGUGUCGGGGGUUAAAGAACCUUCGGUGCCGCAGCCAACGCAGUAAGUGAUCCACCUGGGGAGUACGUUCGCA
rnacentral:rRNA from 1 species